UUCAUUCAUUCUUGCAAAGCUUCAUUCAUUCUUGCAAAGCUUCAUUACAUUCUUGUUUUUCAAGAAUGAAUGAAGCUUUGCAAGAAUUAAUGA
rnacentral:pre_miRNA from 1 species